rnacentral:lncRNA from 1 species
GUUCGAUCCUCCCCAUACCCUCCCGCGUCAAUGAUCAUUCACCAUAGCCCAUAUCCUCCCACGUCAAUGAUCAUUCACGGUAGAGAUUUAUACAUCAAACCAACAUCUUCAACAAUACCAAACAUCAAUCCUUGUAGGAAUUCAUGCAUCAUAUUCAUAUGGCACACUAUCAAGUAUCAUACCUCAUGUCUAGAAGCUUGUGGGGGUUCAACAACAUAUUCGGCUAAAGGCCCAUUAUACCCAAAUUUGACCAUAAAGAUAUUCUUUAAAGCCAAAGCUCCUCAAAAUAACCUUCUUC